rnacentral:rRNA from 1 species
AACGAACGCUGGCGGCAUGCCUAACACAUGCAAGUCGAACGAGACCUUCGUGUCUAGUGGCGCACGGGUGCGUAACGCGUGGGAACCUGCCCUUAGGUUCGGAAUAACUCCCCGAAAGGGGUGCUAAUACCGGAAAAUGUCUUCGGACCAAAGAUUUAUCGCCUUUGGAUGGGCCCGCGUUGGAUUAGCUAGUUGGUAGGGAAAAAGCCUAUCAAGGCGACGAUACAUAGAUGGUCUGAGAGGAUGAGCAGCCACACUGGGACUGAGACACGGCACAGACUCCUACGGGAGGCAGCAGUGGGGAAUAUAGGACAAUGGGCGAAAGCCUGAACCAGCAAUGCCGCGUAAGUGAUGAAGGCCUUAGGGUUGUAAAGCUCUUUUACCCGGGAUGAUAAUGACAGUACCGGGAGAAUAAGCUCCGGCUAACUCCGUG